AUUCUUACAAGAAACUCACUGGAGACAAGCGGAUAAACAAAAUUGGGGGGGUAAAAGAUUUCCACUUAUAAUUCAAGCUUCCAAUAAGGAAAAAAAAAAAUGUGGAGUAGCUGUGGUAUUUGGAGAAAAGAUUAAAGUUGAAGUAAUUCAUCAAAUACAAGAUACUAAAGGCAGGUAUUUAAUAAUAAUAUGUAAAAUUGACUCUGUACUUUUUACAUUAUGUAAUAUAUAUCUUCC